ensembl:lncRNA
GACCUGAGAGAGAGUGACUCUGCUGAGUACAAGUUCAGAUUUACAUCAAACAAAGUAACAUGGGGCUACAGCUUCCCUGGGACAACUCUGACUGUUACUGACCUUCAGGUGAAAGUGACUCCUGCCACUAAGGAAGGGAAUGUGACUCUGACCUGUAGCACCUCCUGUCUUCUGACUGACAACCCCACCUACAUCUGGCACCAAAACGGACAACGUGUCACGAAUGAACACAACAACGUCCUUCACCUGGGACUCACCACAGAGGAAGUGGGCUACUCCUGUGCUGUGAAAGGUCAUGAGGACCUCCGUUCUGAGACCAUCACUGUCAAUGAAGCAGUGUUUCCCUGGGUUCCCGUGGUUACAGUGGGGGCCGUCCUCACUGUUGCAGUUCUUCUAGUCACCAUCUACUGUACCAUGAGGAGGAGAUCUACAGGAGGAAGUGACGCUACAACAGACCCACAGAGUGUCCAUCCAGACGCUAUGGGUGAAACGCAGACUGCUCAGAACCUGACCACUCUGUCUCCUGACUAUGACACACUGGGUGUAAGUCUGUUCUUGUACUGAUUUGGGUUUCAGAACCUCCAGUCUAGAAACAAGGUGCCAAGACUGGUCAAAGUGUGAGGCAGAAUUCCUUGAUCACUGUCCAAACCUCUUUCUUUCUUUAAAUCUCUCUCUUUAA